rnacentral:rRNA from 1 species
AGUGAACGCUGGCGGUAGGCCUAACACAUGCAAGUCGAACGGCAGCACAGUAAGAGCUUGCUCUUACGGGUGGCGAGUGGCGGACGGGUGAGGAAUACAUCGGAAUCUACUUUUUCGUGGGGGAUAACGUAGGGAAACUUACGCUAAUACCGCAUACGACCUACGGGUGAAAGCAGGGGAUCUUCGGACCUUGCGCGAUUGUAUGAGCCGAUGUCGGAUUAGCUAGUUGGCGGGGUAAAGGCCCACCAAGGCGACGAUCCGUAGCUGGUCUGAGAGGAUGAUCAGCCACACUGGAACUGAGACACGGUCCAGACUCCUACGGGAGGCAGCAGUGGGGAAUAUUGGACAAAGGGCGCAAGCCUGAUCCAGCCAUACCGCGUGGGUGAAGAAGGCCUUCGGGUUGUAAAGCCCUUUUGUUGGGAAAGAAAAGCAGCAGGUUAAUACCCCGCUGUUCUGACGGUACCAAAAGAAUAAGCACCGGCUAACUUCGUG